UACAGAGGUCUCAAGCGUUGUUCGGAUUCAUUGGGCGUAAAGAGCGUGUAGGCGGCCCGGUAAGUCCGCUGUAAAAGUCAAAGGCUCAACCUUUGAAUGUCAGCGGAUACUGCCGGGCUAGAGUCCGGAAGAGGCGAGUGGAACUCCUGGUGUAGCGGUGGAAUGCGCAGAUAUCAGGACGAACACCAACGGCGAAGGCAGCUCGCUGGGACGGUACUGACGCUGAGACGCGAAAGCGUGGGGAGCGAACAGG
rnacentral:rRNA from 1 species